UACGUAGGGUGCGAGCGUUGUCCGGAAUUAUUGGGCGUAAAGAGCUUGUAGGCGGUUUGUCGCGUCUGCCGUGAAAAUUCGAGGCUCAACCUCGAACUUGCGGUGGGUACGGGCAGACUAGAGUGUGGUAGGGGAGACUGGAAUUCCUGGUGUAGCGGUGAAAUGCGCAGAUAUCAGGAGGAACACCAGCGGCGAAGGCGGCGCUCUGGGCCGGUACUGACACUGAGGAGCGAAAGCGUGGGGAGCGAACAGG
rnacentral:rRNA from 1 species